AUUGAACGCUGGCGGCAGGCCUAACACAUGCAAGUCGAACGAGUGGCGGACGGGUGAGUAAUGUCUGGGAAACUGCCCGAUGGAGGGGGAUAACUACUGGAAAAGGUAGCUAAUACCGCAUACCAUCGGAUGUGCCCAGAUGGGAGUAGCUCGUAGGUGGGGUAACGGGUCACCUAGGCGACGAUCGCUAGCUGGUCUGAGAGGAUGACCAGCAACACUGGAACUGAGACAAGGUCCAGACUCCUACGGGAGGCAGCAGGGGGGAAUCUUGCACAAUGGGCGAAAGCCUGAUGCAGCCAUGCCGCGUGUAUGAAGAAGGCCUUCGGGUUGUAAAGUACUGUCAGCGAGGAGGCGUUACUCGCAGAAGAAGCACCGGCUAACUCCGUGCCAGCCGCCGCGGUAAUUC
rnacentral:rRNA from 1 species